rnacentral:rRNA from 1 species
UGCCAGCCGCCGCGGUAAUACGGGGGGGACUAACGUUGUUCGGAUUUACUGGGCGUAAAGGGCGCGUAGGCGGACUUUCAAGUCGGAUGUGAAAUCCACAGGCUUAACUUGUGGCUUGCAUUCGAUACUGUUGGUCUUGAGUAUAUCAGAGGAAAGCGGAAUUCCAGGUGUAGCGGUGAAAUGCGUAGAUAUCUGGAAGAACACCAAACGCGAAGGCAUUCUGCUGGUCAUUACCUGACGCUGAGGGACGAAAGCGUGGGAGCGAACGGGAUUAGAUA